rnacentral:lncRNA from 1 species
GCUGCCCGAGUGGCCAGGGCUGCUGCCCUCCAAGUUGGAGGGCAGCAGUUCGAACCCCCACAAAAGUAUUGUGGGGGUAUUUCUUUUCUCAAUUAAUUUGAGUGAAGGUAGUCUUCUUUCUUACCCAUGAGUGAGGAGUAGACGUCCCUCGAAUAUUUGUGAGGGUUAAAAUCUGGGCAGAGCUCCAUUAGCAUUGAUGUCAGUUGGUCCCAGUAAUAGUUUGAUUUGUAAAUAUCAGUAAUAGUCUCAUGUAUAUGAGUUGUAAUCUGAGCAAUAGUCUCAUGUAAUAAAAAAAAAAAUUAUAUAAUUUAAUAACUGAU